rnacentral:rRNA from 1 species
GAUGAACGCUGGCGGCGUGCUUAACACAUGCAAGUCGAACGAAGCAUUUAGGACAGAUUACUUCGGUUUGAAGUUCUUUAUGACUGAGUGGCGGACGGGUGAGUAACGCGUGGGUAACCUGCCUUGUACUGGGGGAUAGCAGCUGGAAACGGCUGGUAAUACCGCAUAAGCGCACAAUGUUGCAUGACAUGGUGUGAAAAACUCCGGUGGUAUAAGAUGGACCCGCGUCUGAUUAGCUAGUUGGUGAGAUAACAGCCCACCAAGGCGACGAUCAGUAGUCGACCUGAGAGGGUGACCGGCCACAUUGGGACUGAGACACGGCCCAGACUCCUACGGGAGUCAGCAGUGGGGAAUAUUGCACAAUGGAGGAAACUCUGAUGCAGCGACGCCGCGUGAGUGAAGAAGUAAUUCGUUAUGUAAAGCUCUAUCAGCAGGGAAGAUAGUGACGGUACCUGACGAAGAAGCUCCGGCUAAAUACGUG